CCACUUAGCGAAGCGUGCCCCCUGCUUGUAGUACUCAGCACACCUUGAAGCCAAACCAUCUAGGCCUUGGCACCAAGAUUCAUUGUUGGACCCAGGCAAUGGAACCAAGCCCUUGUCGACCUUGAUACCGGGCAUGAUAUUCUGAUCCUUCAAGCAGUCAACAAACUUCUUACCAUCAGUGGUUGACUGAUAAAGAGUUUCCUCAAAAAGGAUAGCACCAGAAAUAUAUUCACCAAGACCAGCAGUGGUCAGUAAAAGCUGCCUGUAAGCCUGGCGGUUAACUUCUGUGUUGUCCAAACCAAUGGAUGCUAAUCUCUUUCCGCAUGUGGCAUUCGACUCAUCAAUUGCCAGGAUACCACGCCCUGGGGAAGCAACAGAUUUCUGCACAGAUGGAAAACGAGCUCGUCGGCGUAGGAGACGGCGGCGGCGCGGAUCACCGUAGCACGGCGGGGCGGCGCGGAUCGGCG
rnacentral:sRNA from 1 species